AAAAAUUUAUUUGUAAUCGACCUUAAAAGGCCAGCUGCUAAUAAUAGGGAAUGAAGUUCUAAUUUUGACCCACCCGUUUCUCUCUCCUCAUAACCGCGCUUCUCUAUCAUCUGAAAAAUUAGAAACCCUACAAUCUCUCUCAUCAGCCCUUACAUCCAAUGUCCCUGAACUUCACUCACCUCACCUCCAUUAUACCGUCCUCUCCUCCAUUGCUAGAAGAUUUUAUUUAAAAGCUACUCCUUUUUCAACUUUGCCUCCACUAGAGUAAACCCUAACCCUAGAAAAACCAAGAUAAACUCCUAAAUUUGAGUACAAACCCUAACUUUCAAAUAGUCGAAACAAUUACUACUAAUUUGAACGAAAAUCCAACGUCCUUGCUUAGUUCUUUUGAAUUUUCAGUUGUUAUUUCCUCAAAUUUAGGGUAUUUUUGCCCAAUUUUCUACGGUUUUUGUAGUUCGAAUUUUUUUUGGGGUUUUUGGUCGAUUUUUUGCUUGAAAAUAAGGGGCUUUGGCUCGAAUUUGCUCGAAUAUAGGGGGGUUUUGCCGCACAUUUCCUGGGUUUUUCGAUUAGUGGUCGAACUUGUAGGCUUUGGGGUCGAAUUUCUCGAGGUAUUGCUGUUGAAAUCGCUGGUGUUUUGGGGUCGAACGGCAGCAGAGUAUCGCUGGGGAUUUUUGGGGUUUUGCUGGUCGAAUUUUUGGGGUAUUGCGAUUGAAUUUGCCAUCGCUUUUUAGAAGCUCGCUAUAGAUGUCCUCCAUAUGACAAAGUCCAGGUUAUUCGUGGUAUAUCGAUUCGAUAAUGUUGCUUGGGAGCUCGGUAUUUAGAUAUUUCUUGCUUUCUCUUUCAAAUCUACCGUUUUUAUUUCAAUUCUGCAAUUUCAUGUUGUUUUUAUGAGAAAUUUGGUGUCAAACCUUAAAAUUUUCGAUUAUUUUGAUUAUAAUUGUUGAUUUUUUAUGUUGAUUUUAUGGAGGAGCUUUUACGACACUCGCAGAGAGGGGGUGUCGUUUGACACUUGCAGAAAUGACCACUGCUGCUCUUGUUUAAAGUGAAAAAUAUGCUCAUUCUUUUCUAAGAGCAAGUUUAGCCCCAAGUAAAGAUUUAUACUUAAGACUUUUCCCAUUUUUCUUCAAAAAUCUCAAACAAGUCUGUUAAGUCUUGAAAUUUCAACUUAAGACUUGAGAUUGGGACCCACUUCACUUUUAUUUGUAUUAUCCCUUUUUUUUUUUUCUUACACUUUUCUACUUAUAAUAUGUCAAGUAUUUAAAUCUUAGGGCUAAAGUGAUAAAUUUGUGUAAGUCUUAGUGAGUCUUAACAAGAAUUUGAUGACAUCAUUUUCAACGGGGACCACCAAAAAUGAUGUCACAUUCAAGUCUUAAGACUUGGUGCUAAACUUGCUCUAACUGAGGUUCUUUAUUUCACUUAUACGAUUACUGCUUUGGCAAUAAGAUGAAUUCUAGGGUUUGAUUUUGAUUUCUGUUUUUUAGGUGUGUGAUAAUCGUUCUACUCACAAUUGCUGGGCUUAUAAGUAAAAUGCGUUUAGAGUUGAGCCAAAGCCAAGGAGUAGGCCCUUUUGAUUGGAUCACCAAAUUGUAGAGUUGGAGCAUGUGCAAAUGUGGAACCCAAGCCCCAUCAUCUAAGCCUCACUCCACCUUAAAAGUUAAAAAAGAAGGGAGCUUGUUGAGGUCUCAACCAUCUAGUAUUGACUCAGUGUGGUUGGUACUUUGAUAGGUCAUUACUGCCAUCAUGUGUUGGAGGGUAUUUGCUGGUAUUUGUACUAUAAAAGCUUGGUGGUAUUUGUAUAGUAUAAUCUUCAAGAAAUUGAGAAACUUGCAUUGAUAGUUUCAGAGGUUAGUUUUUUACUUAUUAGAAUGUGGGCAUAAUGUGUGAUCUGUAUUGUUUGGUAUAACAGAUUUGGAUCAAUCUAUGUAGUGUGGUGGACUGUUUUGUAGAAAUUCUGUUUAUGGUCUAAUAUGAUGUGUCCAGUUGUCAUAUUUCUAUAUUUACCUUAUUAAUUAACUUCUUGUUCAUGGAAGGAGGGAUUGCUGAUAAACUGUCGCUGGAUCUUGUACCUGUUUGCAGGUUUGGCAUAUUAGAACCACUCAGAAUUUGUGACGCCUUGAACGUGUUCAUUCUAUGAGAGUUAAAAGUCUUUGUUUUUCUCGAGAUGGAAGUCAGAUAUUGAGUACAUCUGUUGACAGCACUGCCAGGGUUCAUGUUUUGAAGUCUGGGAAAUUGUUGAAGGAAUUUCGUUGGCAUACUUCUAAUGUGAAUCAUGCGAUAUUUACAAAUGAUUGUAGCCGUGUGAUCAGAGCAUCUCUAGAUGUUUCAACCAGUCAAUUUUUUUUAUUUAUUUUUUAUAUUUUUUAAUUUGUAAUGAAUUUUAUACUUCAUUUUUUGUUUGAGGAAUGAAUGUAUACUUCAUAAUUAACAUAAA